UAUAUAUAUAUAUAUUUGUAAAUAGAACAUGAGUGGAAAACAGAUGAUACAUAGAAGGUCCUACCAGAAUGAAAUUAGAUUCAUGAAUUCAAAGACUGAAUAUAUUCAGUUUUAGGAUCCUGAUAUGAGCAUCACAAGUAAUCCCCCAGAUGCUCUUCCUUUCCACCUCGCCCCCCUUUCAUAUAACUGGAGACACCUUUCCCACCAAACCACUCUGCCUCACACCCUCUGCAUUGGGCUCAUUCAUUCAUUUAUACACCCAUCAAAUAUUUAACUGAGCUGAUAACAUGUGCCAGGCACUGUGCUUGGCGCUGGGGAUACAAAUGAAUACUGUAUGGUCUUGGCCUUCAGGAUUGUCCCGAGCCAGCCCUGAGCACGGGAUCACCGUGCCCUUCACAGCAGAGAACUCAUGCUCUUCCUGUUCCUCAUGGAAGGCAGGAUGUAUGUGGGACAUUGAGGAUCCUGUUGUCUCUUUCUUCCUGACAAAGCAUACUUCCUGGCUUGCAGGGUUGGCCACAGGGCUGGGCACCGGGACUCAGUCUGAGGAACUGACAGAUGGACAAACUACUGGCUGAUUUCUGCUAGGCCUCCAGAAGGACAGAGUAGAGGGGGAAAGAUUUAGGACAUCCUGAAUCAGCUUGGAUUCCAGUAUCCUGUAUCUAGAGAAGCUCAAACCUAUUGAUCUGCUGGAAGCCACUGUCAGAGAUCUUGCUCACUCUGCUGACUGCCACCCCCAAUUCUGCCCCCAAUAUGUCCCUGGCUUCCUCACACCAACCAUCAA